UACGGGGGGGAGCAAGCGUUGUUCGGAUUUACUGGGCGUAAAGGGCGCGUAGGCGGCCACCGCAAGUCGGUUGUGAAAUCUCUGGGCUUAACCCAGAAAGGUCAACCGAUACUGCGGGGCUAGAGUGCAGAAGGGGCAACUGGAAUUCUCGGUGUAGCGGUGAAAUGCGUAGAUAUCAGGAGGAACACCGGUGGCGAAGGCGGCUAGCUGGGCCGGUUCUGACGCUCAUGUGCGAAAGCGUGGGGAGCAAACAGG
rnacentral:rRNA from 1 species